rnacentral:rRNA from 1 species
AAUCCAUAGGUUAAUGAGGCGAACCGGGGGAACUGAAACAUCUAAGUACCCCGAGGAAAAGAAAUCAACCGAGAUUCCCCCAGUAGCGGCGAGCGAACGGGGAGGAGCCCAGAGCCUGAAUCAGCAUGUGUGUUAGUGGAAGCGUCUGGAAAGGCGCGCGAUACAGGGUGACAGCCCCGUACACAAAAGCGCAUGUGCUGUGAGCUCGAUGAGUAGGGCGGGACACGUGGUAUCCUGUCUGAAUAUGGGGGGACCAUCCUCCAAGGCUAAAUACUCCUGACUGACCGAUAGUGAACCAGUACCGUGAGGGAAAGGCGAAAAGAACCCCGGCGAGGGGAGUGAAAAAGAACCUGAAACCGUGUACGUACAAGCAGUGGGAGCCCCACCACCAAAGCAUUUGCUGUACCGCGUUGACGGA